AUUGAACGCUGGCGGCAUGCCUUACACAUGCAAGUCGAACGGCAGCACGGGUGCUUGCACCUGGUGGCGAGUGGCGAACGGGUGAGUAAUACAUCGGAACGUACCUUAUCGUGGGGGAUAACGCAGCGAAAGCUGUGCUAAUACCGCAUACGCCCUGAGGGGGAAAGCGGGGGAUCGAAAGACCUCGCGCGAUUAGAGCGGCCGAUGCCUGAUUAGCUUGUUGGUGGGGUAAAAGCCCACCAAGGCGACGAUCAGUAGCUGGUCUGAGAGGACGAUCAGCCACACUGGGACUGAACCACGGCCCAGACUCCUACGGGGGGCAGCAGUGGGGAAUUUGGGACAAGGGGGCAAACCCUGAUCCAGCAAUGCCGGGUGGGUGAAGAAGGCUUGCGGGUUGUAAAGCUCUUUUGUCAGGGAAGAAACACCGGCUCUAACACAGCCCGGGAAUGACGGUACCUGAAGAAUAAGCACCGGCUAACAACGUGCCAGCAGCCGCCGUGG
rnacentral:rRNA from 1 species